GGUGGCGAUAGCAAGAAGGAUACACCUGUUCCCAUGCCGAACACAGAAGUUAAGCUUCUUAGCGCCGAUAGUAGUUGGGGG
rnacentral:rRNA from 1 species